rnacentral:rRNA from 1 species
UACGAAGGGGGCUAGCGUUGCUCGGAAUCACUGGGCGUAAAGCGCACGUAGGCGGAUCUUUAAGUCAGGGGUGAAAUCCUGGAGCUCAACUCCAGAACUGCCUUUGAUACUGAGGAUCUUGAGUCCGGGAAAGGUGAGUGGAACUCCGAGUGUAGAGGUGAAAUUCGUAGAUAUUCGGAAGAACACCAGUGGCGAAGGCGGCUCACUGGCCCGGUACUGACGCUGAGGUGCGAAAGCGUGGGGAGCAAACAGG